UACAGAGGGUGCGCGCGUUAAUCGGAAUUACUGGGCGUAAAGCGUGCGUAGGCGGUUCUGCAAGUCAGAUGUGAAAUCCCCGGGCUUAACCUGGGAACUGCGUUUGAAACUACGGAGCUAGAGUGUGGCAGAGGGGGGUGGAAUUCCACGUGUAGCAGUGAAAUGCGCAGAUAUGUGGAGGAACACCGAUGGCGAAGGCAACCCCCUGGGCCGACACUGACGCUGAGGCACGAAAGCGUGGGGAGCAAACAGG
rnacentral:rRNA from 1 species